UACGGGGGGAGCAAGCGUUGUUCGGAUUUACUGGGCGUAAAGGGCGCGUAGGCGGUCACUACAAGUCAGUUGUGAAAUCUCUGGGCUUAACUCAGAACGGUCAACUGAUACUGUCGGACUAGAGUGCAGAAGGGGCAACUGGAAUUCCCGGUGUAGCGGUGAAAUGCGCAGAUAUCGGGAAGAACACCCGUGGCGAAGGCGGCUCUCUGGGACGGUACUGACGCUGAGACGCGAAAGCGUGGGGAGCGAACAGG
rnacentral:rRNA from 1 species